UACGAAGGGGGCUAGCGUUGCUCGGAAUUACUGGGCGUAAAGCGCACGUAGGCGGCUUUCUAAGUCGGGGGUGAAAUCCUGGAGCUCAACUCCAGAACUGCCUUCGAUACUGGAAAGCUCGAGUCCGGGAGAGGUGAGUGGAACUGCGAGUGUAGAGGUGAAAUUCGUAGAUAUUCGCAAGAACACCAGUGGCGAAGGCGGCUCACUGGCCCGGUACUGACGCUGAGGCACGAAAGCGUGGGGAGCAAACGGG
rnacentral:rRNA from 1 species